CGAGUCGCUAGCGAAACGCGCGCGUUUUCUUAGCGUUUUCUGCAGCCUAUACGCCCUAUACGUGUUUGUGUGUGAUUUUGCUUACAAGUGCUGACGCAAGUGCCUGAGCGAUUUGUGGAUCCGAUCCGUUCGCGUUGUUGCAUCACGAAUCGAGAAUGAAGACGCAACACCGACUACUCUGCUUGGCU